UUUUUUUUUUUUUUUUUCUUGAGACAAGGUCUGGCCCUGUCACCCAGGCUGGACAGAAUCAUGGCUCAUUGCAUCCUCAGCCCCGCGGGCUUAACUGAUCCUCCCACCUCAACUUCCCAAGUAGCUGGGACCACAGGCAUGUGCCACCAUGCCUAAUUUUUAAAUUUUUUGCAGAGACAAGGUCUCACUACGUUGCCAAGGCUGGUCUCGAACUCCUGGGCUCAAGUGAUCUUCCCACCUUGGCCUCCCAAAGUGCUGGGAUUACAGAUGUGAGCUACCAUUCCAGUCCCUGGUUUUUAAGCACUUCUCAUGCUCUUUCAUGUCUGAUCUUCUCAAACUUGGUUCUAUGGUUAUCAUUAUUUUACACACAAAACUAAAGCUCAGAAAAGUUAGGCAACUUGUCUGAUACCUGUCUCUGGUAAGAGGCAGAGCAAGGAUUGGGAUCUAGGCCUUGUUACUCAGAACACAGGGCAGGGUGGCUGGAGUUUCCUUCACAUCCCCAGCCUGUGUCAUGAUGGAUUUGCUUUCCUGGUUUUGAACAUCACACACGUGGAAUUUUCCGUACAUCCUGGAGUGACUUCAUUGUGCGCUUCAUCCACAUUGUUGCGGGUUGUGGUUGUGUGCCCUUUUCCAUUGUUGCACAAAAUCUCCUCUCUGUGAACAUGCCACACUUACUUAUUAAAAUCUUUUCUCCUAUGGAUGGACAUCUGGGUCAUUUCCAGUUUGGGGCCAUCAGGAGGAAAGCUGCUGUGGGUAGUUUUGUUAAUGUCUUCUGGUACACAUAAGCUCUCAUUUCUCUUGGGUGAGGUGAGGAAUUAGUCAGUCAUGGGAUAUUCGUAUGUUUAGGUUUUGUAAAUACUGCCAGUUUGCCAAUGUGGUUGUAUCAAUUUUAUGAGCAAUGUAUGAAGGUUCCAGCUGCGACAUCCUUGACAAACUAAGUAUCGUCAGUCCUUUUAAUUUUAGCCAUUCUUGGGUGGGUGAGAGCAGUGAAGAGCCAUUCUUGACAUGGAAUGACAAGACCUAGUGUGCCAGAGGUGAAGGCCGGAGCGUCCAGGGGAGCAUGAGCCUGUCUUCUAUGCCCUGCUGUGCUACAGCAAUGUUUCACUGUGCUCAGGAGGAAAACAGAGACAGCAGAGAAGCCGAGUGCUCCAAAGUGGGCAGAAAUGAGACAGGCAUAAAUAAAGUGCUAGGCUAAUAGUGAGACUCUUAGAUAAUUUUGUCAUUAGCUACAAAGAGGGCAGUGACAACAUGAUUUACACACACACACACACACACACACACACACACGGGGUGGGGUAUCUGAAAUAUUAAGCAGCUAGUAUGGUAGGGGCACUGCCUAAUCAGUAUGGAUGCUGGCCAGGAGAGGAUGUGUGUAUGUGCUGGCUGGAAACUCAGUCCUGCUCAUAGGUCAUGAUCUUAAUGAUUAAAUAAGCCAAGAAAUCCCAGAGGGCAGUGCCCGAGAGCACCCUGUUUGCUCUGUGGCUAGAACGCAGCACCCUGAAGUAUCACCCAUCAGGGUUAGAGGUGCUCGUGAUGGUUUGGGCAAAUACAAAUAUUAAUCCAGAGUAUCAGAGUCUGCAUGAAAAUACUGAAAAGUGAGGGUAUACUCAACCGUUUGCAAGAAAUACAAAUGGGAACUGACAAUAACUUAAGAUAAUUAGAGAGGCAGAGAGCACUGGGUUUUACUAAAAUAUUAAGACAUUAAUAUUUUAUGCGUCCUGUCUCCAUGUCGGCAACUGCGCAAAGUACACGCGUUCAAGCGAAAGUGGGAAGGCUAAUGGCCAGCCAGAGCUUCGGCGCUUGCACGCUCAGGCCACCGGGUGACGACUGCUUCCAAUUCCGCGGCCUUUAAACCCCAGGUUGUUUUUUAAAAAACAAAACAAACAAACAAAAACACUAUUUCUCUAAAAGUCACGAUUCGAGCCCCACCUGAGGACGCAACGAUCCGGCGCCAACUCCUUUAUCUAUAAAUGAGUGACUUUACCAGAAGCGCCUAUGCAAGACGAAGGGCCCCGCGCGGGCUGCUCCCACCUCUUUCUCUCCUUGCAGGGUACCGAGACCCUGGCUGGUGCAGCCGGCGGCCCCUCCGGCCCAUCCGUCGGAAAUGGUGAGUGGCUCCAGGGGCCGGGGUCUGCAGAACCUACCCCAACGGGAAUAGCAGCCCUACACAGCCGCGCUCUGACCCGCUGACCCCGAGUCUCUGC
ensembl:lncRNA